GAUGAACGCUAGCGGCAGGCCUAACACAUGCAGGUCGAGGGGUAGAAGGAGCUUGCUCCUUUGAGACCGGCGCACGGGUGCGUAACGCGUAUGCAAUCUACCUUGUACAGGGGAAUAGCCCAGAGAAAUUUGGAUUAAUGCCCCAUAGUAUAUAACCUUCGCAUGUUGGUUAUAUUAAAGUUCCAACGGUACAAGAUGAGCAUGCGUCCCAUUAGUUAGUUGGUAAGGUAACGGCUUACCAAGACGAUGAUGGGUAGGGGUCCUGAGAGGGAGAUCCCCCACACUGGUACUGAGACACGGACCAGACUCCUACGGGAGGCAGCAGUGAGGAAUAUUGGUCAAUGGUCGCAAGACUGAACCAGCCAUGCCGCGUGCAGGAAGACGGUCCUAUGGAUUGUAAACUGCUUUUAUACAGGAAGAAACCCUUCCACGUGUGGGAGCUUGACGGUACUGUAGGAAUGAGGAUCGGCUAACUCCGUG
rnacentral:rRNA from 1 species